ACUCAAAUGAAUUGACGGGGGCCCGCACAAGCGGAGGAACAUGUGGUUUAAUUCGAUGAUACGCGAGGAACCUUACCUGGGCUUAAAUGUGCUAUGACCGCUGGAGAAAUUCGGCUUUUCGCAAGAACAGAGUACAAGGUGCUGCAUGGUUGUCGUCAGCUCGUGCCGUGAGGUGUCGGGUUAAGUCCCAUAACGAGCGCAACCCUUAUUGUCAGUUGCUAACAGGUAAUGCUGAGGACUCUGGCGAGACUGCCACCGUAAGGUGCGAGGAAGGUGGGGAUGACGUCAAAUCAGCACGGCCCUUAUGUCCAGGGCUACACACGUGUUACAAUGGCCGAUACAAAGGGCAGCUACCAGGCGACUGGAUGCUAAUCUCUAAAGUCGGUCUCAGUUCGGAUCGAAGUCUGCAACCCGACUUCGUGAAGCUGGAUUCGCUAGUAAUCGCGCAUCAGCCAUGGCGCGGUGAAUACGUUCCCGGGCCUUGUACACACCGCCCGU
rnacentral:rRNA from 1 species